rnacentral:rRNA from 1 species
AUAAGAGGUCCGCCUGCCCUGUGACAAAUGUUAACGGCCGCGGUAUUUUGACCGUGCGAAGGAGCGCAAUCACUUGCUCUUAAAUGGAGACCUGUAUGAAUGGCAUCACGAGGGCUUAGCUGUCUCCUUUUUCCAGUCAAUGAAAUUGAUCUCCCCGUGCAGAAGCGGGGAUAAACACAUAAGACGAGAAGACCUAUGGAGCUUAAGACCAACCUCGGCCCAUGUGGAGCACUCAACAAAGGCAGAACUAAGUGGACCCGAGGAAGUGUCUUUGGUUGGGGCGACCGCGGGGGAUCAACAAGCCCCCAUGUGGAAUAGAGAAACAUCUCUAGAACCUAGAGCUACUGCUCCAAGUAACAGAACAUCUGACCUACACGAUCCGGCAAAGCCGAUCAACGAACCGAGUUACCCUAGGGAUAACAGCGCAAUCCUCUCCCAGAGCCCAUAUCGACGAGGGGGUUUACGACCUCGAUGUUGGAUCAGGACAUCCUAAUGGUGCAGCCGCUAUUAAGGGUUCGUUUGUUCAACGAUUAAUCUC